rnacentral:rRNA from 1 species
GUCCCAGACUCCUACGGGAGGCAGCAGUGGGGAAUAUUGGGCAAUGGGCGCAAGCCUGACCCAGCAACGCCGCGUGAAGGAAGAAGGCUUUCGGGUUGUAAACUUCUUUUGACAGGGAAGAGCAGAAGACGGUACCUGUCGAAUAAGCCACGGCUAACUACGUGCCAGCAGCCGCGGUAAUACGUAGGCGGCAAGCGUUAUCCGGAUUUACUGGGUGUAAAGGGGGCGCAGACGGCGAUGCAAGCCAGGAGUGGAAGCCCGGGGCCCAACCCCGGGACUGCUCUUGGAACUGGGUGGCUGGAGUGCAGGAGGGGCAGGCGGAAUUCCUGGUGUAGCGGUGAAAUGCGUAGAUAUCAGGAGGAACACCGGUGGCGAAGGCGGCCUGCUGGGCUGCAACUGACGUUGAGGCCCGAAAGCGUGGGGAGCAAACAGGAUUAGGUACCCCAGGACC